rnacentral:lncRNA from 1 species
AGCGAGUGGUCACAGACUGACCUGCAGCCGCUGGACGUGCUCGCCCUGUUGCGGGACCCUGUCUGCUGACAGACGACUGGCCUCAAGGCCAAGAUUUAAAUCAGUGUCUUCCUCUCUCUCAUGCUACUAUGAUCGCUAUGGCAUUCUGCAGGCCUGAAAGGAUUUUCUUUUUCUUACUUUCCAUUUCUUACUUUUCAGAAAAUGCAAAUUGUUGCUGUUUUGAGCACAACAGGGACACUAUGUGAACUGCAGCUCUCUCAAUAAGGGAUAUUGUGUGUCUGUGGUAAAGGGAAAACCACCUUCCAGCAUCUUCCCCAGUGGCAGUCCUACAUCUUGUCCUUAGAGACCUGCUCUCUCUAGCUACUAGUUUGUCCUGAUUUUGAUAACCAUCCGCCUCUUGUUUUCUGCAGGUUAUCCAAGGUUACGAAGCAGGAGGACUUAUCCGAAGUACUGGUAGCAUCAAAGACACACGCGUUAUCUGAGGUGAGCUGUAAACCCUCCUCUCUGCCUGUCUAUCCCAGGCAGGAGAGCAGGAACUGCGGGAGAGUGUUCCUGGAAGGCAUAGCCUGUAAGUGGGGUUUUUCUGCACCAUUUGUGCUGUGCCUCUCUCUUGCUUGGGUUGAUGCUGACAUCUGGAGGCUGUGCUGUGACAGUGUGUGUGCACAGUUAUUUCUACGUGGCUUUCUGCUCACCCUCAUGGUUGCAUUUUGUAAGAAGCACCUUUUGGCUAUCGUGCUGUGCCAGGGUGAUUUGACCCUGGGGCAUGCCUAAUUGUCUGGAUAUAUUUGCUGAAAUCCUGUUACUGACUUGGGCAGCAUUUAGUAUGUUUGCUCUGGAUCCCUCUGUUAGUGACAUGGUCAGUAGACAUAAGCCCAAACUCGAACAGGGCAGGUCUGGACACAAGACAAGCCGUGAUCUAACCAAGUUUAAAAGUCACAGAAAACUGAAAUAGGCUUUCACAUGAUGGAAAAUGGAUUUAUUGUCUCAGCUGAUGGAUAUCUGGAGCAUCACUGAUGUUCAUAAGGGGGGAUCACCUGCAGUGCAGGCUGUCUUACCCUGCUGACCCCAAAAAUGAACUGCUAUCCAUAAUCCCAUAGGGAAGAGUGCUCUGAAUGUCCUUCUCUGUGCCACCUCUCCUGGCCAUGCUGUCACCAUAUAUGAUGGAUGGCCCUGGUGGUGGAGUGACAAUGUAACUCACUUCCCUGCUUUUUGGCAUCUACGAGGUAAGGAAGGGCUUUGGGGCUUUUAGCAUGAGGUUGCCAUUCUUGGCUUUUGCCCAUGAGACUUAUUAACUGAAAAAACUGUGUUGAAGUGAGGCUGUUUAUAUGGAAAUUUCCAGUCAUUCUUUUAAAUUCCCAGAAGUGUUGCUGUAUUGCACCCUGGCUGCUACAUGAAAGCCCUGCCCACUUUGGUAUGAUUUAUUACUAUUUAUUACUACAAAUACCAGUAUGCAAAUAGUCAUGCUCCAGAAAUGGCGCUUCCCCCUUAAGAUCUGCAUCCUAAGCAGAUGUGCUCUGCUUUAACCAGUCGGUUUGCCAAGGCAGGCUGACUGGGACGUGUCAUUUCCUAACCCUGGCCCUAUAAAUGAGCCACAUUUGAGCAAAAAGCCUGUGUAGCUUGUAUUCAGGCUUUUGCUCAGAGACCUACUGCAAGCAGGGAAUAGACUUUUAGAACUACUGCUGGGAAUUCGUCUUUUUGCUUUCCUCCUGGCAAUUUUUGGCUACAUGGCAUCACCAAAUUGUGCUGCCACUGCUGCUAUUACACUCAACUUUUAAGCACUUUGUAGACCUUGCUGCUAGUCCAUAUUUCUCUAGGAGCUGCCAAACCAUUUCUGGGACUGUAGCGAACUCUGCUGCAUCCAUUCUUCAUCCCAUCACCAACUUGAGGGCUGUAAGGAAGAAAGAAAUAAGGAAGGAAAGGAAAAAAAGGAAAAGAAAUCUAUUAAAAAAGAUUUAUGUAUGGGAAUUUUAUACUGGCAAUCGGGAAACUAAGUUCUGCAGAGAUGGGCAUUUAAUCUAUAAUUGAUUUGUAUCUACUUUUGGGUAAUAUACAUGCCCUGACCCUGUAUUUUUGCUACAACAGACUUGCACAAUAGAGAUGCUGAAUAGCUUCUGCAUGUUUUGUGAAGAGGCAGAUGGCUUGAAUAGAGAGAAUUGUUGUCUAGCAAUUGGAAGGUGCUGAUACUGGGCUUCUUGCAUCUUCCUUGUUGUGAGCCAGUAUGUAUUACGUUUUGAGAUGAAUGUGUGGAUUUUUUUAGUUGAGAAUAGACAGAUCUCUGCUCACAUUUCAUCCUUGGUUUGUAAUAAAUUUCUAAAGGCAUUUUGAAUUUAAGACCGU